rnacentral:tRNA from 1 species
GCGCCAGUAGCUCAGUUGGAUAGAGCGUCGGCCUCCGAAGCCGAAAGUCGGGGGUUCAAAUCCCUCCUGGCGUA